AGAGUUUGAUCCUGGCUCAGGACGAACGCUGGCGGCGUGCCUAAUACAUGCAAGUAGAACGCUGAAGAGAGGAGCUUGCUCUUCUUGGAUGAGUUGCGAACGGGUGAGUAACGCGUAGGUAACCUGCCUUGUAGCGGGGGAUAACUAUUGGAAACGAUAGCUAAUACCGCAUAACAAUGGAUGACACAUGUCAUUUAUUUGAAAGGGGCAAUUGCUCCACUACAAGAUGGACCUGCGUUGUAUUAGCUAGUAGGUGAGGUAACGGCUCACCUAGGCGACGAUACAUAGCCGACCUGAGAGGGUGAUCGGCCACACUGGGACUGAGACACGGCCCAGACUCCUACGGGAGGCAGCAGUAGGGAAUCUUCGGCAAUGGGGGCAACCCUGACCGAGCAACGCCGCGUGAGUGAAGAAGGUUUUCGGAUCGUAAAGCUCUGUUGUAAGUCAAGAACGAGUGUGAGAGUGGAAAGUUCACACUGUGACGGUAGCUUACCAGAAAGGGACGGCUAACUACGUGCCAGCAGCCGCGGUAAUACGUAGGUCCCGAGCGUUGUCCGGAUUUAUUGGGCGUAAAGCGAGCGCAGGCGGUUUGAUAAGUCUGAAGUUAAAGGCUGUGGCUCAACCAUAGUUCGCUUUGGAAACUGUCAAACUUGAGUGCAGAAGGGGAGAGUGGAAUUCCAUGUGUAGCGGUGAAAUGCGUAGAUAUAUGGAGGAACACCGGUGGCGAAAGCGGCUCUCUGGUCUGUAACUGACGCUGAGGCUCGAAAGCGUGGGGAGCGAACAGGAUUAGAUACCCUGGUAGUCCACGCCGUAAACGAUGAGUGCUAGGUGUUGGAUCCUUUCCGGGAUUCAGUGCCGCAGCUAACGCAUUAAGCACUCCGCCUGGGGAGUACGACCGCAAGG
rnacentral:rRNA from 1 species